CAGCCGCCGCGGGAACACGUAGGGUGCAAGCGUUAAUCGGAAUUACUGGGCGUAAAGCGUGCGCAGGCGGUUUGUUAAGACAGAUGUGAAAUCCCCGGGCUCAACCUGGGAACUGCAUUUGUGACUGGCAAGCUAGUGUGUGGCAGAGGGGGGUGGAAUUCCGCGUGUAGCAGUGAAAUGCGUAGAUAUGCGGAGGAACACCGAUGGCGAAGGCAGCCCACUGAGCCAACACUGACGCUCAUGCACGAAAGCGUGGGGAGCAAACAGGAUUAGAUACCCCAGUAGUCCCUGUCUCUUAUAC
rnacentral:rRNA from 1 species